rnacentral:rRNA from 1 species
GACGAACGCUGGCGGCGUGCCUAAUAUAUGCAAGUCGAGCGGACAGAAGGGAGCUUGCUCCCGGAAGUUAGCGGCGGACGGGUGAGUAACACGUGGGCAACCUACCCUGUAGAUCGGGAUAACAUCGAGAAAUCGGUGCUAAUACCGGAUAAUCAUUUGAAGUGCAUGCUUCGAAUGUAAAAGAUGGCUCCGGCUAUCACUACGGGAUGGGCCCGCGGCGCAUUAGCUAGUUGGUAAGGUAAUGGCUUACCAAGGCAACGAUGCGUAGCCGACCUGAGAGGGUGAUCGGCCACACUGGGACUGAGACACGGCCCAGACUCCUACGGGAGGCAGCAGUAGGGAAUCUUCCGCAAUGGACGAAAGUCUGACGGAGCAACGCCGCGUGAGUGAUGAAGGUUUUCGGAUCGUAAAGCUCUGUUGUUAGGGAAGAACAAGUGCCGUUUGAAUAAGGCGGCACCUUGACGGUACCUAACCGGAAAGCCACGGCUAACUACGUGCCAGCCGCCGCGGUAAUAC